rnacentral:rRNA from 1 species
GAUGAACGCUGGCGGCGUGCCUAAUACAUGCAAGUCGAGCGAAUGGAUUAAGAGCUUGCUCUUAUGAAGUUAGCGGCGGACGGGUGAGUAACACGUGGGUAACCUGCCCAUAAGACUGGGAUAACUCCGGGAAACCGGGGCUAAUACCGGAUAACAUAUUGAACCGCAUGGUUCGAAAUUGAAAGGCGGCUUCGGCUGUCACUGAUGGAUGGACCCGCGUCGCAUUAGCUCGUUGGUGAGGUAACGGCGCACCAAGGCAACGAUGCGUAGCCGACCGGAGAGGGUGAUCGGCCACACUGGGACGGAGACACGGCCCAGACUCCUACGGGAGGUAGCAGUAGGGAAUCUUCCGCAAUGGACGAAAGUCUGACGGAGCAACGCCGCGUGAGUGAUGAAGGCUUUCGGGUCGUAAAACUCUGUUGUUAGGGAAGAACAAGUGCUAGUUGAAUAAGCUGGCACCUUGACGGUACCUAACCAGAAAGCCACGGCUAACUACGUGCCAGCCGCCGCAGUAA